rnacentral:rRNA from 1 species
CCUACGGGUGGCAGCAGUGAGGAAUAUUGGUCAAUGGGCGCAAGCCUGAACCAGCCAAGUAGCGUGCAGGAUGACUGCCCUACGGGUUGUAAACUUCUUUUAUAAAGGAAUAAAGUGAGUCACGUGUGCCUUUUUGUAUGUACUUUAUGAAUAAGGAUCGGCUAACUCCGUGCCAGCAGCCGCGGUAAUACGGAGGGUCCGAGCGUUAUCCGGAUUUAUUGGGUUUAAAGGGAGCGUAGAUGGGUUGUUAAGUCAGUUGUGAAAGUUUGCGGCUCAACCGUAAAAUUGCAAUUGAUACUGGCGGGCUUGAGUACAGUUGAGGUAGGCGGAAUUCGUGGUGUAGCGGUGAAAUGCUUAGAUAUCACGAAGAACUCCGAUUGCGAAGGCAGCCUACUAAAGUGCAACUGACAUUGAUGCUCGAAAGUGUGGGUAUCAAACAGGAUUAGAUACCCGAGUAGUC